rnacentral:rRNA from 1 species
UACGGAGGGAGCUAGCGUUGUCCGGAAUUACUGGGCGUAAAGCGCACGUAGGCGGCUUUGUAAGUUAGAGGUGAAAGCCCGGGGCUCAACCCCGGAAUUGCCUCUAAGACUGCAUCGCUUGAAUCCAGGAGAGGUGAGUGGAAUUCCGAGUGUAGAGGUGAAAUUCGUAGAUAUUCGGAAGAACACCAGUGGCGAAGGCGGCUCACUGGACUGGUAUUGACGCUGAGGUGCGAAAGCGUGGGGAGCAAACAGG